CAACCUCCGCGGUCCCGUUGCCGUCCGCUGCCACGGCAUCUCCCUCAGGCUUGCUGGAAACAUCACCGUUGGUCUUUACAUGGCCGUUUUCCUAAGCAUAAAAGAAAGUAGGUCACAGGAAGUGGGUUUUCCCUCACGCUGCCCUCUCAUCCCACGGGAAACAGGAAGUGACCUCACAUGCCUGAAGGAGAAUGACAAACCAGAACUCUGGAUGUUUCGAGGAUGAGUGGUGGACAUGUACACUGAUUCUCUGUGCUAUCUGAUGGGGACACAGUGGCUCUUCUCUGUCAUCAUCACAAAGCGGAGCAAAAUACAACUCAACACACAGAUAUCAAAGGUUAAUGAAGUGUUUGAAUAUUUAAGAUCAUCAUUUUAUGUGAACAUCGGCUCAUGUUGUGAAACUCCAGAGUUUUUAUCGCACAUUAAGCACCACUCUCUGUCUGUCUCGCAAUCUCUCGUUCUUUCUCUUUAUCUCAUCUGUUGAUUCCAUACAUGCCAGUGUAAAUGACAGGCGUGGAGAAGAGUUCUGUGCGUGUAUACAGUAAAAGGGUUGGAUAUUCAUGUUAUGCCCACAUUUGAAUGAAAAUCUGAAAUCCUGAUUAUGUAAUAUAAAGAAACAUACGUGUGUGUGUGUGUCUUCCUUAAGAUGAAAGAUCAGGGUCAUCAGACCCACAAAAGCCUCACCAACCACACACACACUUAGUCAUAGUUCACUGCCCAGGGCUGAAACCAUCAGCCAACAUACAGGAAAUCCUCUCUUUACAGGAAGUGACACAGCACAUAUGACUAUAAAACAGGAAAUGCAACCCAUGUGUUUUAGAAUCUGAAUCAUUAUAGGUGAAGCACAGGCAAUAUAGUGUGAAACUAGAGCUAAACAAAAUAUAUCUAAAGUUGUUAUCUCUAAAUAUUAAUUUCAAGAUCUUUACAUUUACAUUUAUGCAUUUGGCUGACGCUUUUAUCCAAAGCGACUUACAUUGCAUUAUACUACACAUUUGUAUUUGAGUAUGUGCAAUCCCUGGGAUGGAACCCAUGAUCUUGACGUUGCUAGCGCCAUGCUCUAACCACUGAGCUACAGGAAAGCAAAUCUUUAAAAGUUGAUUUUCUUUAUUUAAAGGGACCAAACAGCUAAUUGGAAUAAAUAAAUAAAUAUUUUCCACACUGUUUUCAUGAUAUUCAAAUAAAGGACAUUGACAUUUAAUCAUUUUUUAUGAUCUUGUAUAUGAUCUGACAUAACCUUACAAAUGUGCCUACAGUACAUGUACUUUCACAUUUUACAAUACGAAACAGCCCCUCUGAGACACAAAAUCACUUCUGUCUGAUUAUGUAAACUUUGAAGUUUGAAGUAAUUCACACUAAUGAAUCAAACGUACAACCUUUGCUCUCAGAAAUGGAUGUACAACAUGUUAACGCUUCUCAAAACUAGUGACACAUUCCUGCAGAAAACACAUAUUGAUAUUGUUGUGUUUAUUGCCAGCAAAAGAAUAAAUUAACUUAAGAAAGAAAACACAGUCACAGACAUCACAUAACUGCAGAUAACAGUCUUUGAGGAACAUCAGAGGAAUGCACACACACACAUUUAUUCAUCUAAAUGAGGACAUUCCCUCAGAAUUGUCAGGUUGUGCUCAUUGUUGAGAUGACACAUUUCCAAAGAAUCAGAUGGGAAAUGACAGAGGUGCAGAGUUUUGUUUCGACAUGUCUCGAUCAUACACAACUGCUCAUCACAGAAACUGUGUGUUUCAGAAAAACGGUGACCGUUUCAAAUAGUUUGAAUAGUUGUAACGUGUGUACGUGCAUUAGUCUUCACUGAACCAAAAACAUCAAUCGACCAGCAGCAGUGGACAAUCUCUGUUAA